CUUAGGCCAAACUUAAAAUAUGUAAGAGGCAGCUUUAUGCUAAACUUGACAAAAGAAAGCCUCAGAGUGGGAAAGUCAACCUAAGAGAGAAACCGUUUAUUUUGUGGGUAAUGCUGAGUGCCCAUUUGAGUGGAGACCUAAAAACCAGACUCUGAGCAGUAGCAUGAACCAAAUGUUGUCCUAGACCUGAAGUUUGGCCAUAUCCCAUUGUAAGCAUUGACAUCACCACCUACCUCUCAGAGACAGUUAACAGGCCUGAGGUAUGAUGAGAAAAGAGGUGAGAAAAAUAAAAU
rnacentral:lncRNA from 10 species